rnacentral:rRNA from 1 species
UUAAGUGACUAAGCGUACACGGUGGAUGCCUAGGCAGUCAGAGGCGAUGAAGGGCGUGCUAAUCUGCGAAAAGCGUCGGUAAGGUGAUAUGAACCGUUAUAACCGGCGAUACCCGAAUGGGGAAACCCAGUGUGUUUCGACACACUAUCAUGUCAUGAAUACAUAGUGGCAUGAGGCGAACCGGGGGAACUGAAACAUCUAAGUACCCCGAGGAAAAGAAAUCAACCGAGAUUCCCCCAGUAGCGGCGAGCGAACGGGGAGGAGCCCAGAACCUGAAUCGGCUUGUGUGUUAGUGGAAGCGUCUGGAAAGUCGCGCAGCAAAGGGUGAUAGCCCCGUACACUAAAAUGCACAGGUCGUGAGUUCGAUGAGUAGGGCGGGACACGUGACAUCCUGUCUGAAUAUGGGGGGACCAUCCUCCAAGGCUAAAUACUCCUGACUGACCGAUAGUGAACCAGUACCGUGAGGGAAAGGCGAAAAGAACCCCGGCGAGGGGAGUGAAAUAGAACCUGAAACCGUGUACGUACAAGCAGUGGGAGCACCUUCGUGGUGUGACUGCGUACCUUUUGUAUAAUGGGUCAGCGACUUAUAUUUUGUAGCAAGGUUAACCGUAUAGGGGAGCCGUAGGGAAACCGAGUCUUAACUGGGCGAAUAGUUGCAAGGUAUAGACCCGAAACCCGGUGAUCUAGCCAUGGGCAGGUUGAAGGUUGGGUAACACUAACUGGAGGACCGAACCGACUAAUGUUGAAAAAUUAGCGGAUGACUUGUGGCUGGGGGUGAAAGGCCAAUCAAACCGGGAGAUAGCUGGUUCUCCCCGAAAGCUAUUUAGGUAGCGCCUCGUGAACUCAUCUUCGGGGGUAGAGCACUGUUUCGGCUAGGGGGCCAUCCCGGCUUACCAAACCGAUGCAAACUCCGAAUACCGAAGAAUGUUAUCACGGGAGACACACGGCGGGUGCUAACGUCCGUCGUGAAGAGGGAAACAACCCAGACCGCCAGCUAAGGUCCCAAAGUCAUGGUUAAGUGGGAAACGAUGUGGGAAGGCAUAGACAGCCAGGAUGUUGGCUUAGAAGCAGCCAUCAUUUAAAGAAAGCGUAAUAGCUCACUGGUCGAGUCGGCCUGCGCGGAAGAUGUAACGGGGCUAAACCAUGCACCGAAGCUGCGGCAGCGACGCUUAGGCGUUGUUGGGUAGGGGAGCGUUCUGUAAGCCGUUGAAGGUGGCCUGUGAGGGUUGCUGGAGGUAUCAGAAGUGCGAAUGCUGACAUAAGUAACGAUAAAGCGGGUGAAAAGCCCGCUCGCCGGAAGACCAAGGGUUCCUGUCCAACGUUAAUCGGGGCAGGGUGAGUCGACCCCUAAGGCGAGGCUGAAAAGCGUAGUCGAUGGGAAACAGGUUAAUAUUCCUGUACUUGGUGUUACUGCGAAGGGGGGACGGAGAAGGCUAGGCUAGCCGGGCGACGGUUGUCCCGGUUUAAGCGUGUAGGGGGUGUGACCUGGUAAAUCCGGUUGCAUNUAACCCUGAGGCGUGAUGACGAUGCACUACGGUGCAGAAGUAGUUGAUGCCCUGCUUCCAGGAAAAUCCUCUAAGCUCCAGGUAACAUUAAAUCGUACCCCAAACCGACACAGGUGGUCAGGUAGAGAAUACCAAGGCGCUUGAGAGAACUCGGGUGAAGGAACUAGGCAAAAUGGUGCCGUAACUUCGGGAGAAGGCACGCUGGCAUGUAGGUGAAGUCCCUUGCGGAUGGAGCUGAAGCCAGUCGAAGAUACCAGCUGGCUGCAACUGUUUAAUAAAAACACAGCACUGUGCAAACACGAAAGUGGACGUAUACGGUGUGACGCCUGCCCGGUGCUGGAAGGUUAAUUGAUGGGGUCAGCCGCAAGGCGAAGCUCUUGAUCGAAGCCCCAGUAAACGGCGGCCGUAACUAUAACGGUCCUAAGGUAGCGAAAUUCCUUGUCGGGUAAGUUCCGACCUGCACGAAUGGCGUAAUGAUGGCCAGGCUGUCUCCACCCGAGACUCAGUGAAAUUGAACUCGCUGUGAAGAUGCAGUGUACCCGCGGCAAGACGGAAAGACCCCGUGAACCUUUACUAUAGCUUGACACUGAACAUUGAGCCUUGAUGUGUAGGAUAGGUGGGAGGCUUUGAAGCGUGGACGCCAGUCUGCGUGGAGCCAUCCUUGAAAUACCACCCUUUAAUGUUUGAUGUUCUAACUCGGCCCCAUAAUCUGGGGUGAGGACAGUGUCUGGUGGGUAGUUUGACUGGGGCGGUCUCCUCCCAAAGAGUAACGGAGGAGCACGAAGGUUAGCUAAUCACGGUCGGACAUCGUGAGGUUAGUGCAAAGGCAUAAGCUAGCUUGACUGCGAGAGUGACGGCUCGAGCAGGUACGAAAGUAGGUCUUAGUGAUCCGGUGGUUCUGAAUGGAAGGGCCAUCGCUCAACGGAUAAAAGGUACUCCGGGGAUAACAGGCUGAUACCGCCCAAGAGUUCAUAUCGACGGCGGUGUUUGGCACCUCGAUGUCGGCUCAUCACAUCCUGGGGCUGAAGUAGGUCCCAAGGGUAUGGCUGUUCGCCAUUUAAAGUGGUACGCGAGCUGGGUUUAGAACGUCGUGAGACAGUUCGGUCCCUAUCUGCCGUGGGCGUUGGAAGAUUGAGAGGGGUUGCUCCUAGUACGAGAGGACCGGAGUGAACGCACCACUGGUGUUCGGGUUGUCAUGCCAAUGGCAUUGCCCGGUAGCUAAGUGCGGAAAAGAUAAGCGCUGAAAGCAUCUAAGCGCGAAACUUGCCUCAAGAUGAGUCUUCCCU